UACGGGGGGGGCAAGCGUUGUUCGGAAUUACUGGGCGUAAAGGGCUCGUAGGUGGCCAACUAAGUCAGACGUGAAAUCCCUCGGCUUAACCGGGGAACUGCGUCUGAUACUGGAUGGCUUGAGAUUGGGAGAGGGAUGCGGAAUUCCAGGUGUAGCGGUGAAAUGCGUAGAUAUCUGGAGGAACACCGGUGGCGAAGGCGGCCAACUGGACCACUACUGACGCUGAGACACGAAAGCGUGGGGAGCAAACAGG
rnacentral:rRNA from 1 species